UGUGGACGUCCAUGACAGUUUAGCUGCUGAAGCUGAACAUGGUGAUGCUUCUAGAAAGGAAAGGUCCUCAGUUCAAGGUGUAGAACAGGUCUAUAUUGAGAUGCAUUUCUUUGGCGUAAUACUAGACAACAUUGAAAGUUGAAGUUUUUAGAAUAAAAAAUAUAUUUCAUUAACAUUGUAUACAUUUCUUGUUUAAUAUUUGGUGAUGAUAUAAUUUGAUUGUAGUAUAAACUGUCAUGUAAUAUGAUUUUGUAAGCCGAGUAGACUAAAUACUGAAAUGAUAUUUUUGAGUAAUUAAUAAAAAAUUAUUUUGUUGUA